rnacentral:rRNA from 1 species
CAGCCGUAAACAAUGUGCGUUAGGUGUCAGGCAUGGCGCGACCGUGUCUGGUGCCGCAGGGAAGCCGUGAAGCGAGCCACCUGGGAAGUACGGCCGCAAGGCUGAAACUUAAAGGAAUUGGCGGGGGAGCACAACAACGGGUGGAGCCUGCGGUUUAAUUGGACUCAACGCCGGACAACUCACCGGGGACGACAGCAAUAUGUAGGCCAGGCUGAAGACCUUGCCUGAAUCGCUGAGAGGAGGUGCAUGGCGUAGACGUCU